AGAUUGAACGCUGGCGGCAGGCCUAACACAUGCAAGUCGAGCGGCAGCACGGGUACUUGUACCUGGUGGCGAGCGGCGGACGGGUGAGUAAUGCCUAGGAAUCUGCCUGGUAGUGGGGGAUAACGCUCGGAAACGGACGCUAAUACCGCAUACGUCCUACGGGAGAAAGCAGGGGACCUUCGGGCCUUGCGCUAUCAGAUGAGCCUAGGUCGGAUUAGCUAGUUGGUGAGGUAAUGGCUCACCAAGGCGACGAUCCGUAACUGGUCUGAGAGGAUGAUCAGUCACACUGGAACUGAGACACGGUCCAGACUCCUACGGGGAGCAGCAGGUGGGGAAUAGUUGGAACAAGUGGGACGAAAGCC
rnacentral:rRNA from 1 species